GGCGACGAGGGCUCCCGUAGAAGACGGGUUUGAUGGGGCGGGGGUGUACGGAUGGAGGCUUCGGCCGGACAUCCUCAGCCCGCCGCUCCCAACCGCCCGAGUGGCCUAAGGA
rnacentral:rRNA from 1 species